UCAUUUUUUAAAAUAGAAGAAAUUAAACAUUUUUCCACAUACCAUCCUUAGGGAACAAGGCAUAUCAUAAGAUAUGACAAAUAAGCUUCUAGGAAAAGUCUUCAUUUGUUCUUUCCAGAAAAUGUGAAUUUGCUAAUUUGGUGACAAAUAUAUGUAUACAUAUUAUAUGUAAUAAAAUUAUACUGAAAAUAAAAUCAAUGAAAUAUUGAAAUUUUAAGUGCAAAGCAUCUGGUUAAAACUGCCUACUCUUGCUUAUAUAUCCUUUUUUAUUUGCUAUUUAUAUUAGCAAAAUGAACUUAACAUAAUGCCUCAAAUAGUUAAUGAAUAUAAAGCUUUAAAACAGUAAAUAUGUAUUGUACAUGAUCUUUUGGAAUCUGAUUUCAGGUACAACUAAUUUGACAGGCAGUAUGAUAAGGAACAAUCUGAAUGACACGUAAACAGGAGGGGGUAAAUUCCAAGCACAGCCUGAAUGAGAAGUACAACUCAUUUCCUGUAACCUAGAUGCCUUUUUAACACAUCUAUGCAGUCUCCAUGUGAAACCAGGUGCUGUUCCCAAAGGAGAAAACACUGCCCUCCAGUGGUCUUCAAUGAAGAAAUGGAAAUAGUUUCAGGUGGAAACCAGGCUUCUUGGAAGACUUCAAACUAUGCCAAAUGGUCUGAUUUCACCAUAGAGAUUCUUUGCUGAAGAAUGCAGCUGUAUUAAAGGAAGAAAGAAAACCAAGCUACAGCUCCUUAUAAUUCAACAAGCAUUUAAAAGAUUUAUAAAGAUGGUGCAAUUAUGUAUUUAAGCUGCUUCAACACAAGUUCUUGCCUUUCACUCCCACCCUGUGGCUUACACUGGUAUUACAUCUAUUCUGACAUUUAAAAAUCAACAUUAAAGAACAUAUUGUAAUAAUGUAUUCUAUGGUUUAAAUAUUUAAAAAAUUUUACAUCAUACCUAGAAAGUGUUGUGUACUUUCUAAAGCUUAUAAACUGAAAAGGAUUUGAAGAAUCCUAAUACAGAAUCAUAAGUUAUAAUUCAUCCAAAAUUGUAUAGUUCUUAAAUUUCAAAUCCAAACCAGUGGAUAUCUGUCUUUAGUGACAUUUAGAUUUUAUUCAAUUAAGGUCAUUGUAGCUAUUAUAAAUGGAAGAUUUUACUUCAUUGUGUCUUAUCACUGAAGUACUUCACUCUUGCUUUUCAAAAGAUUUCUUUCAAUUUCUUCAGAGUCUUAUUUGUUCUCUAAGACAAAGACUUGAUUUCAGUUUGUUUUUCUUAAAAUUAAUAUCUUCUCCAAUUUAUUUCCCAGUUUUUUCUAAAUAAAUACUUUAAAUAUAUAGAGUAUUAUUUUUAUAGUAUCUCAGAAUUAGUAAAAUAAAAUCUUGCCAAUACAAACAAUUUGUGAUUUUAUACAUUAUAUUGUCAGACUGAAG
rnacentral:lncRNA from 1 species